rnacentral:lncRNA from 1 species
CGGAGAGGGCGCGCUGCCAGUCCCAGCCCUUAGGUCGGCAGCUUCCUCCGUUAGGGGAAUUCCAUCUCUUGCUCUUGGGCAGGAAUCUCCUGGUUUUGUGGAGGGGGUGGGGGGUUCGCACGGGUCAGCUUCUUUCAUCCGCCCGGGGCUUCUCGCAUUGGUGCCACCAGUCGACUCCUGGAAUCUUUUCUUGGUUGCCAGGACGCUGAGAAGCCAAGGAAGUGCCAGCCCCAGCGGCAUCCACUCCUUCCUUGGCCUCACUUGGGCCUCCACCCUGCCCUCUGCCCUUCAGCCACCGGCCUCCUGAGUGUGUCCAGACCUGGCCCUAAACCUGGCUGAAAGGAGCCAACCCUCCGGCAACCUCCCAGAAGCAACAUUGGUG